GUUUAAAAUACAUAACCACAUAUCCACAUUUACAAUAAAGUAGAUGGUUUUGUUGUUUUGAUAAAAAAGAAAACAUGCGAAAAUAUUAUGAAAAUCUGUCGGGAUCGUUCUGCGUAUAUUUGGCAACAUUCGUAACACAUGUAAACAAUAUGGCUUCUUGCGACAUUUCUUCAUCCCCAGAAUCGUCAGAUAUAGAUACAGACGAAAAAUUUGGCGACGAUUCAUCCGAGUCUGGAUCAGAUUUUGAUCAGGAUGAUUCAGACAGCGACCAUUCCUUUGGAAGUGAGACAGACAGCGAUGACAACCAGGACACAGAUUCGACAUUAUUUGACCUUGACAGCCAGGCAAGCGACAUUAGAGAUUCUGACUUCUGGACUGAUGUUGUGGAAGACUUUGAUGUUCCUGACUUCGUCGAUACUUCAGGUCCCACUCAUCAGCUCUCUUCGGAUGCAAAUCCUCUGUUAUAUUUCCUGCUCUUGUUUCCCUUGAGUCUGGUACAGGUACUUGUAAACAACACCAAUUUGUAUGCUGCUCAGAGUGGAGCCCAGGGUUGGACUGAUACCACCAUCGACGAGAUGAAGGCAUUCCUCGGAUUACAAAUUCUGAUGGGGAUUAUUCAGCUUCCCAGAUACACUAUGUAUUGGUCAUCUGAUAAGUUUAUCGAUGUUGAGCUGACCAAUGUCUUCAAACCUUUACCAUGAAACAACUCGGAUCAUAAACUUUUCUAAAUAUUGAGGAAUAUGUUGAAUAUAAAAUGAAAAUACUUUACACCUGCUUAGUGCUCUUCUGGAAUUGGCAGUGUAACAUUGGUUUUCAAGAAACACUGAGUUUGAAAAGAUUUGAAAAGCUCACUCGGUAUUUCCAUCUAAGUGAUAAUACUACUCAGGGAGCCAGAGGAACACCUGAAUU